GUUCGAUUGUGCGUCAAGAAUUCAGCAUAGCAAGUUUGUAUGAAGGUCUAGUUAUUAAUUAGUACAUAGCUCAAUAGUAAUAUCCUCGAAAACGCUCUGGUGACAAACAAACUUUGCUGCCUUGUUUCCAAUUGUGCACAUGGCUGGGAGAACCUAUUCAAGUAAGUAAAUACAUUUCGAAAAUGUAAAAAAAAAACGAUGUAUUAUUAGCUAACUAACUACAGUGCAGGCUAACUCAAAUGAGCUGCUAAAUGAGCUAUCUAGAUGAGCUAACUUCACAUACUGUAUAGAUAGCUAGCUACGUGAAUGAAAUAUCACCAUCUACCUAACUUCAUAUUAGCUACCUAUCUUGAUGCAUUUAUCACUGUAAAAAAAAAAACUCCAAAUUAAUUUGUAGGUAGCUAGCUAACAGCCAUGGAGGAGGGUGAUAGGAUAGCAGCCCCAAUUGUGAGUAGGCUAUUCUGGAUAGGGCAGGUCAUUUUGUGUAGUUCCUGUCUCUAGAAGUGAGGAUGGAGAUAAUAGCAACAUAAUAUUCAGUGUGGUGUAAUUUGACUAUAAUGAAGUCUGUUUCUUGUGAGGUUUUCUGUCCUCAGAUAGAGGGCUAUGAAAGCCUGUCUACAUAUGAAGUGCAGUGGUUCUCAGUCCUGGGGACUCAAAGGGGUGCACAUUUUUCUUUUUGCCUUAACACUGCGCAGCUGAUUCAAAUGAUCAACUUAUCAUCAAGCUUCAAGUGAUACCUUGUAACUGGAGAUUCCUUCAAAACGAGUGCCUACAGUUAACGUGUAGGGCACUGCAAGGUUGGGUGACCAGGAGGGCCAUCUGGGACUGCCUCCUGGAGGAAUUCAGGUGUGUGAAGGCUACCUGUGUCCUGCAUAACUUAAUGAGGAUGGACACGAGGACCAGGAGGGGAUCUGCAGCUCGCUGCCGUCUGCCAGAGGAGAAGUCUGCUGCUCUGCAGGAUGUUUCAAGGAUGGGGUCCAACAAUGUAGCAAGAGGCAAUCCGUGUGCGGGAGAUCUUCACCUCCUACUUCUUCGGAGAGGGUGCUGUUCCCUGGCAAUACCAUAGACUACACGAUGCACAACCAAAGGCUCUUUUAAGAGUCAUUCAUAUUGCAAUAAGAAUAUUCUUCCAUGUCAACUGCAGUUAUUCAAUUCCCAGUUUCUCUCUCUUUGAUUUCUACUUCUCAGGUGAGGGUGCUGUUAAGGUAAGGGUGUGAUGUCUGUACAAAAACAAAACAGGCUAUUUUAAAUCACCCAUAUUGAAAAAAUGUAGAACAAUUAGACACCCUAUAACCCACACGCUCAUGUAUCAAUCUGAUUAAUGGAUUGUGUUGUGCAGUAAGCAGGCUCAGGUGUAUAACUGUGGCUCCUUCCACCUUCAAAGAAUAGGCAAGAGGGCCAACCAUGGAGAAUAGUAAGACACUUCAUUAUUUCUAUAACUACGCUAUAUUGUUUGUCCACGUGUGUCCGUUCAUGUUUUUCCAGCAUAAAGUACUCUGCAGCCACUUAGUGUGGUGUGGACACCAGGUGAGGCCACACACACAGAUUUCUGUUGAACACUGUCUUUAACUACCUUAAUUUCUCAAUAAGUCUCUCUCCUUCACUUCAUCCCUCUCUCCUCUUCUCCCUAAAUCCUCUAGGUUAUAUCAGCUGUGUCGGUGAACCCCUCCCUCAUCUGAACUGGCUACAUGGAGGGCACAGCAUGAUCAGAGAUGAGAGGUCACUUGGUCAGGUCAACAGGAAGUAUUAUUAAAGAGAUGCUUUACAUUGAAAUACAGAUAGAGAUGCAGUAGUCCCAGAGUUAAUGAUCCAAGGUCAGUUUUGCAUUUCACCUCCUGAUUUAUUAUGAUGACUAACAGUGUUAGAAUAAAAAAUUAAAGCACAAGGCUUAAACAUGCUAUCUGUCUCUAGUCUGCAGAUAUGUUUUGACGUGAGAGGAUGCCAACCCCCAGUCCCAUCAUUGCCAACCUUCGGACUGACUAGUUUCACUAUUAUGUAAUUGUGAUGAACUAAGAGAAUAUUUGGGUUUCACUGUGAUUCAUUAAUCAUAUGCUGCCUUCCCUGCCCCUAUGUCUUUACCUCUUUCCCUUCUGUCUUUUACACCUCUCUCGCCACCUCUUUCUUCCUGUUUUUAUAAUGCACAACAGAUGUGCAUUGAAGUACAGAUUGAACUUGUAUUUAUAAUAUUACAAUUAUAUUUAUAAUGCAUGUAUUUAUAACACUUGGAUAAUGAACUUCUUUCAAUAAAGCAUUUCACAUUCUC